rnacentral:tRNA from 1 species
GAGGCCGUAGUGCAAUGGCAGCACGGCGAGUAGUCACCACAGCAGCAUCACCUACUCUGCAGACAGGGGUUCGAAUCCCCUCGACCUCA